GGGGAUGUAACUCAGUGGUAGAGUGGUCGCUUUGCAUGCGACAAGUCGGGAGUUCGAUUCUCCUCAUCUCCA